rnacentral:rRNA from 1 species
UACGUAGGGUGCGAGCGUUAAUCGGAAUUACUGGGCGUAAAGCGUGCGCAGGCGGUUCGUUGUGUCGGUGGUGAAAGCCCCGGGCUUAACCUGGGAAUGGCCGUCGAAACUGGCGAACUGGAGUGUGGCAGAGGGGGGUGGAAUUCCGCGUGUAGCAGUGAAAUGCGUAGAGAUGCGGAGGAACACCGAUGGCGAAGGCAGCCCCCUGGGCUGACACUGACGCUCAGGCACGAAAGCGUGGGGAGCAAACAGG